rnacentral:rRNA from 1 species
GAUGAACGCUGGCGGCGUGCCUAAUACAUGCAAGUCGAGCGAACAGACGAGGAGCUUGCUCCUCUGACGUUAGCGGCGGACGGGUGAGUAACACGUGGAUAACCUACCUAUAAGACUGGGAUAACUUCGGGAAACCGGAGCUAAUACCGGAUAAUAUAUUGAACCGCAUGGUUCAAUAGUGAAAGACGGUUUUGCUGUCACUUAUAGAUGGAUUCGCGCCGCAUUAGCUAGUUGGUAAGGUAACGGCUUACCAAGGCAACGAUGCGUAGCCGACCUGAGAGGGUGAUCGGCCACACUGGAACUGAGACACGGUCCAGACUCCUACGGGAGGCAGCAGUAGGGAAUCUUCCGCAAUGGGCGAAAGCCUGACGGAGCAACGCCGCGUGAGUGAUGAAGGUCUUCGGAUCGUAAAACUCUGUUAUUAGGGACGAACAAAUGUGUAAGUAACUAUGCACGUCUUGACGGUACCUAAUCAGAAAGCCACGGCUAACUACGUG